GCGGUCAUGUUGAUGGCAAACCACGUGAAGCAAGGAUGAACCAUCCAACAGGGCUCACAGUCGAUAGCAAGGGUAGCGUGUAUUCUAAUGUUCAAGCUUCAGCAAGAUGAUUUCCCAGUGGAUACUCAUGUUUUUAGGAUAAUGAGGGACAUUGGUUGGAUCCCCAUUA